GACGCCCCCCGCCGGUAGCCAUCUUCGUGCAUAGGCAAACUCAUUGUAGCUAGACUGUACAAAGUAUAUCAAGAUAUGCCAAAUAUUGAGCUUAACUUCACCUGUUUGAGAGACGUCAUUGAUGACUUUCGUGAAUGCAGUGUUGGUGGGGUAACGGGCCUGCAAAUAACAUUGAAAUGGGUACAGGAUUGAGUUGAAGAUGACGAAAUGGCAUCCUCAAGCAGACAAUUCUUCUUCCAAGUUUAACUGUGGAUGAGAAACAUAUCAGAUGAGACAGAGUCUCGCUCCGUCACCCAGGCUGGAGUGCAGUGGCGGGAUCUCAGCUCCCUGCAAGCUCCGCCUCCCGGUUCACGCCAUUCUCCUGCCUCAGCCUCUCCGAGUAGCUGGGACUACAGGCGCCCGCCACCAAUAUGCUCUUAGCACAAGACUACUAGAUCCACUUGAUCUAACAACUUUUGGACAAUAAUUAUCUCCUUGUUUAAACAGCACAAUCAAGUCUCUUCUAACUACAAUAAUGAUAUGUACCUUUAUUUAUAUGAAUUUAAUCACCUCUUUAAUUUUAACAUAGUAUUGUUGCUUAAGUCUAAUCAGAAGUGUUAGGUAGUAAUUUCUAUUUUUCUCUUAAGGUAUAUGUUAGGAAUUUUUGUACUUAGGUCACUGUAUGUGCAUUUUAAAAUAUGUUCCCCAAAUUACUUUAAAGUGCAUUUGAAAUGAAAGUGAUGAUUUAAUUGAAUAUGAAUAUUACUGAGGCAUUAUAUUUUUUCAUUUUGUCCAAAUAUUUGCAUAGUUCAUAUUUUUAAUUUUAAAGUACAAAUCUAGGAAUAUUUGCUUCAAAAAGCUUUCAUUCUACUUUUCUUUUAUGUGUAAUUAGAAUUCAAGAGGAUUUAACAUCCAAAAUAUUUCCUUUUUUAAUGUUUUUCUGUAUGUGGUCAGCAGAAAACAAAAUAAAGAUAAGGUGCAAAUAUUGCCAUAUUAGUAGGUUUUACACCAAAGAAGAAAAAACCACUAAUGCAGUCUCUAAUAAUGUCCUUUCCCCCAUUUUAAUAAGAAGGUUUGUGUUGUUCUGACAUUAAAAGGAUUAAGCAGCAAGCCUGCUGAGAAAAAUACUCAAAGGUAUUAAACCCUAGCAGUGUUGGUUUAACUGUAAUUACUGUAAAAUAAGAUUAAGUCUGAGUUUGGAAGAAGAACUAGGUUUGACAUAAGACUAAAAGGUAACAGUGUUCACAGAUGCCUGAAUUAAUGCUUCAGUGAAAAAUAUAAUUAGCACAAGAUUUGAAAAUAUGUCUCCUUUGGCAAAUGUCUUCAGAGAGUAAUCAGUGCUGUAGACUGAUGUAGUGGAAAGAGCACUGGGCAAGUGGCCAAAAUCUUUGAAUUCAAGUUUGUUGCUCUAGCACUCACAAGUUCUGUGACCUUGGAUAAGAAAUUUCUGAAACCUUUGAAUCUCAGUCUGGUGGAUAUGGCCAACUGGCAACCAUUUGCACUUUUCCAUACUGUGUAUUUCUAUACUACAGCAGCUGGAAAGCUAAAAACUAAAUUUUCCUAGAUUCCUGUGCCAUUAAACUUCCAAAUGUAAAUAAGUUUCAUCCAAUUAGGUGCACUUGUUGAGAUUUGGAAGCAAAAGUCAAGUGGAGGUCAUCUUCCUGCUGCUUCCAUCAUUUUCUGCUAAUAAGUGAGAUUGUGGAAACAUGAUUUUUCUGUGAUGGGUUCCAGCAUCCAAGUUCUAGGGUUUGAGAGGCUGUAGGGGUGUGAGUAGUAGUGGUUCCCUGAUCUCUUAAUUGAGGCUACAGUGGUGUGUUUUUGAAGUCAAUAAAUUUUAUAGUGACUUCUGAAGUCCCCACUUUCCUGAUUGAAGCAAAGGUCAUCUUUCUCUAAUAAGUCAGUUCUACAGUGUUCUGGAAACAUUUCUGAAUUCCCAGCCUAGAGCCUCUCUCUCUAGCCUUUCCAAAGAUUUAGUAAGCAUUUUAUUCCCUGUUUUAAAUCCCUAUUUACUUGAAAUACUUGAAACUUACUCUGUUUCCUGUACUAAAACCUAACUGACACACAUGUGCAAGUUUCAUUCAUACCUUACAAAGUCUUUGAGAGGAUUAAACCAUAUUAAGCAUAUUUAACAUUGCUUCCUCUUUUGAAAGAUAAGUAUUCAUGAUAUGAAAAGCAACUGUCAAAAUUGUCUCGUGGCAUUCUCUUGUCAUUAAUUUUGCUCAGCUAAUAAAGUCUAAACACAGUUUGUGAAGUAUUGGUUCUCCUGAGCAAAUAAUGCAGAAGAAACAAUUGCAUAUUCAAUUGGUAUCUAAAUUUUAUAAAUCUCCAGUUCUAAGAAUGUCUGUGAGUUUGUAUACCUUUCCUAUAAAUGAAUAGUUUUCACUUCAAUUUACAUUUUGCUAGUAUUUUUACUUUUUUGGAAGUGGUCAUAAUUAGAAGCACUAUGGCUAAUUCUGUAAGUGGAAGUGGACUGACAUAACACCAUGUCUGGCAAGAUUUUGAGCAGAUUUGGAAAAAUGUUGCUCUGUGCUUUGAUCUUAUACUUUCUAAAGGAAUAAAAUAAUUCUCCUCCCCUUUUUCAAU